GUGUUAGGGAGAAAAAGUUGUCAGAAAUACUCAGGAACUCUUAGGUUUCUGGGCUUAGGCAUCUGCCACACACACGCCCCCACCCCUGCCCCCCGUAGGGUAGGUAACGGGUAGAUCCCAAGAGGUGUUUGCUUAGAGUCUGCUUCUCUAGAUCUGACAGGGCUCCUUCCGGGUCCCUGGGUAAAGGCGAAGCAGAGCCUCAGCCUGGCCUACUGUUCAGAGAACAACAGCUACAAGAAAAGAACAUCAAGAGAAAUGAUGUUGCAAAAUUCCUCCCAGACCUGGCCAAAGCUUACAUCAGCCAGUCAUGUGCAUUUUAAGCUCUAUUAUUCAGUUAAGAAAUGGAUUUGUCCUUGUAAGUGCUGCAAGAUCUGGCACUUAACACCUGAGAUGGGAAGGCACUUUUUUUUUUUUUUUUUUAAAGUAGCAGAAGCUCUGGACAAUCUGGGAGUUAUAAAUGUAACCUCUGGACAGCCAACACAGGGCCUGCGGCUCAGACCUUUCCACUGAGGCAUCUCCCAAUUUCCUUGGGGCGGUGAGGGGGAGAUGGAAGGACAGGAAAAAUGCCUGUCAAGACAGAAGACCUGAGACCAUCGGCAAAGGCAACCUUUCUGGGUGGUCCACCGUGAGAGAGGAGUUCCCAGGUCUCCUCUGUGAGGUGGGUCACGGUGAGGUCAGUCCUCAUGCUCAAGGCCAACGCCCAGAAGGGAGGCUGCGAGAAUCGCUUGACUCCACCAGAAUUCAGACUUCACAAAAGUGACGAUGAACCUAGAAAAUACUGAAGCAUACAACAAUACCCACUGUAUGGAACCUUUCUGAUGCUGGGGACUGGGGAAAAGGCUCCUUCCCACAAGCAGGAAGGGCUGUCUUCCUGUAAGGCCGAGCUUGGGAGCUCCCAAAUUUUGGGCCAGGAAGAUAACCAAACUUUCUGGAAACCAGCUUUUUAUUUUGCCACAUAAGGACUUUAAAAAUAAAACGUAUAAAA